GCACAACGCGAAGAACCUUACCUACCCUUGACAUGUCUGGAAUCCUUUAGAGAUAGAGGAGUGCUCGCAAGAGAACCGUAACACAGGUGCUGCAUGGCUGUCGUCAGCUCGUGUCGUGAGAUGUUGGGUUAAGUCCCGCAACGAGCGCAACCCUUGUCAUUAGUUGCUACAUUCAGUUGGGCACUCUAAUGAGACUGCCGGUGACAAACCGGAGGAAGGUGGGGAUGACGUCAAGUCCUCAUGGCCCUUAUAGGUGGGGCUACACACGUCAUACAAUGGCCGGUACAAAGGGUUGCCAACCCGCGAGGGGGAGCUAAUCCCAUAAAGCCGGUCGUAGUCCGGAUCGCAGUCUGCAACUCGACUGCGUGAAGUCGGAAUCGCUAGUAAUCGCGAAUCAGAAUGUCGCGGUGAAUACGUUCCCGGGUCUUGUACACACCG
rnacentral:rRNA from 1 species